GAGAACUGACGACGAAACCUGCUUCUUGGUCAUCUCCAAGGCAGAGAUUUCCCGUGUUUGUAAUGGACUGUGCUGCUGCAGUGAGCUGACCUUCAUGGUGAUUAUACCCUGGGUGUGUUCGUCUGUGACAAGAAACUUGAACUUGAAGCUGAACUCCUCCACUGUCUAAACUGAGAGUGGAGUGUGGAAUGAGCUGCCAGACGAGUAAAUUCUGGUUAAUUGAGGCACAUCAAGAUCAGUACAUUUUGGCUCAAUUCAGUGGCUGCCCCAAUUAGCUGAAGUUUCAAGGAAACGGUUAAAAAGGGAGGUGAUUGGAAAACAGAACCAACAUGAAGUACUCAAACACGAGGAAUUCUGCAGAUGCUGGAAAUUCAAGCAACACACAUCAAAGUUGCUGUUGAACACAGCAGGCCAGGCAGCAUCUCUAGGAAGAGGUACAGUCGACGUUUCAGACGACCCGGCCUGGACCCAGCACGUAAUUGCAUUUGUGAAGAAAGCACGGCUGCACCUCUACCUCCUUAGGAGUCUGUGAAGAUCCGGCAAGACAUCAAAAACUUUGAUAAACUCUACAGAUGUGUAGUGGAGAGUGUAUGGAUUAGCUACAUCACAGGCUGGUCUGUGACCGAAGAUCGCAAAGACUUUGGAUCUUUGGGCCCACAGCGAAAGAUUUUCUGGCCUCCCUGAUGACACACAAGUCUCCUGCUGUGACACCAACCUUCGACCUGCCCACCUCCAGAGCCCUGAGAUCUUAGGCUUCUGAACACGAUCGAGACUCUCAGGCCAAACCCUUGGCAUGUCGAAUAGCAGCCAGUCAUGGAACCCCGAGAACAUGUCCCACUCCCACAAAGAACUAAAGUCUGCGUGUAACUCCAGCUCAGUGUCUUCAAAAGAACCCUGAAAGGGAUAAAUAAAGAUAUUAAAGGUGGAAAUGGAGCUGUUUCUAAAGAUGCAAACAAAGGAGCUGCCGUUGGGCACCA